AUACAGAGGGUGCGAGCGUUAAUCGGAAUUACUGGGCGUAAAGCGCGCGUAGGCGGCUUGGUCAGUCGGAUGUGAAAGCCCCGGGCUUAACCUGGGAAUUGCAUUCGAAACUGCAUGGCUAGAGUCUGAUAGAGGGAAGUGGAAUUUCCGGUGUAGCGGUGAAAUGCGUAGAUAUCGGAAGGAACAUCAGUGGCGAAGGCGACUUCCUGGAUCAAGACUGACGCUAAGGUGCGAAAGCGUGGGGAGCAAACAGGAUUAGAAACCCCGGUAGUCC
rnacentral:rRNA from 1 species